rnacentral:rRNA from 1 species
GACGAACGCUGGCGUCGUGCUUAACACAUGCAAGUCGAACGAUGAACCGGUUUCGGCCGGGGAUUAGUGGCGAACGGGUGAGUAACACGUGGGCAAUCUGCCCUGCACUCUGGGAUAAGCCCGGGAAACUGGGUCUAAUACCGGAUACGACACUCCGAGGCAUCUUGGGGUGUGGAAAGUUCCGGCGGUGCAGGAUGAGCCCGCGGCCUAUCAGCUUGUUGGUGGGGUAAUGGCCUACCAAGGCGACGACGGGUAGCCGGCCUGAGAGGGUGACCGGCCACACUGGGACUGAGACACGGCCCAGACUCCUACGGGAGGCAGCAGUGGGGAAUAUUGCACAAUGGGCGAAAGCCUGAUGCAGCGACGCCGCGUGAGGGAUGACGGCCUUCGGGUUGUAAACCUCUUUCAGCAGGGAAGAAGCGAAAGUGACGGUACCUGCAGAAGAAGCACCGGCUAACUACGUG